UACAGAGGGUGCAAGCGUUAAUCGGAAUUACUGGGAGUAAAGCGCGCGUAGGUGGUUCAGUAAGAUGGGUGUGAAAGCCCCGGGCUCAACCUGGGAACUGCUUUCAUAACUGCUGAACUAGAGUACACUAGAGGGUAGUGGAAUUUCCUGUGUAGCGGUGAAAUGUGUCGAUAUAGGAAGGAACAUCAGUGGCGAAGGCGGCCUUCUGGACUGACACUGACACUGAGGUGCGAAAGCGUGGGUAGCAAACAGG
rnacentral:misc_RNA from 1 species